rnacentral:rRNA from 1 species
AUACUGGGCGUAAGCGCACGCAGGCGGUUUGUUAAGCUAGAUGUGAAAGCCCCGGGCUCAACCUGGGACGGUCAUUUAGAACUGGCAGACUAGAGUCUUGGAGAGGGGAGUGGAAUUCCAGGUGUAGCGGUGAAAUGCGUAGAUAUCUGGAGGAACAUCAGUGGCGAAGGCGACUCCCUGGCCAAAGACUGACGCUCAUGUGCGAAAGUGUGGGUAGCGAACAGGAUUAGAUACCCUGGUAGUCCACACCGUAAACGCUGUCUACUAGCUGUUUGUGGCUUUAAGCCGUGAGUAGCGAAGCUAACGCGAUAAGUAGACCGCCUGGGGAGUACGGCCGCAAGGUUAAAACUCAAAUGAAUUGACGGGGGCCCGCACAAGCGGUGGAGCAUGUGGUUUAAUUCGAUGCAACGCGAAGAACCUUACCUACACUUGACAUGUUGAGAAGUUACUAGAGAUAGUUUCGUGCCUUCGGGAACUCAAACACAGGUGCUGCAUGGCUGUCGUCAGCUCGUGUCGUGAGAUGUUGGGUUAAGUCCCGCAACGAGCGCAACCCUUGUCCUUAGUUGCCAGCAUU